GAGAUUUCCCAAGUCAGUAAGACCCCUUGUAGACGACGAGGUUGAUAGGUUCGAGGUGGAAGUGCAGCAAUGCAUGCAGCUGACGAAUACUAAUCGGUCGAGGGCUUAACCUCA
rnacentral:rRNA from 1 species